AAGCGUUGUUCGGAAUUACUGGGCGUAAAGGGCUCGUAGGCGGCCCACUAAGUCAGACGUGAAAUCCCUCGGCUUAACCGGGGAACUGCGUCUGAUACUGGAUGGCUUGAGUUUGGGAGAGGGAUGCGGAAUUCCAGGUGUAGCGGUGAAAUGCGUAGAUAUCUGGAGGAACACCGGUGGCGAAGGCGGCAUCCUGGACCAACACUGACGCUGAGUGAGCGAAAGCCAGGGGAGCAAACGGG
rnacentral:rRNA from 1 species